rnacentral:rRNA from 1 species
AUACGUAGGGGGCGAGCGUUGUCCGGAAUGAUUGGGCGUAAAGGGCGCGUAGGCGGCGCGGUAAGUCUGGAGUGAAAGUCCUGCUUUCAAGGUGGGAAUUGCUUUGGAUACUGCCGCGCUUGAGUGCAGGAGAGGUUAUCGGAAUUCCCGGUGUAGCGGUGAAAUGCGUAGAGAUCGGGAGGAACACCAGUGGCGAAGGCGGGUAACUGGACUGGAACUGACGCUGAGGCGCGAAAGUGUGGGGAGCAAACAGGAUUAGAUACCCUGGUAGUCCACACUGUAAACGAUGAAUGCUAGGUGUAAGAGGUAUCGACCCCUUCUGUGCCGGAGUCAACACAAUAAGCAUUCCGCCUGGGGAGUACGGCCGCAAGGUUGAAACUCAAAGGAAUUGGCGGGG